UACCAGCACCCCGAGUGGUCGGGACGAUUAUUGGGCCUAAAGCAUCCGUAGCCGGUUCUACAAGUCUUCCGUUAAAUCCACCUGCUUAACAGAUGGGCUGCGGAGGAUACUAUAGAGCUAGGAGGCGGGAGAGGCAAGCGGUACUUAGUGGGUAGGGGUAAAAUCCGUUGAUCCAUUGAAGACCACCAGUGGCGAAGGCGGCUUGCCAGAACGCACUCGACGGUGAGGGAUGAAAGCGGGGGAGCAAACCGGG
rnacentral:rRNA from 1 species